CCAAUAGCGUAUAUUAAAGUUGUUGCAGUUAAAAAGCUCGUAGUUGAAUUUCGGGGUUAGUAGGUUGGUCAUGCCUCUGGUAUGUACUGGUCUCACUGAUUCCUCCUUCCUGAUGAGCCGUAAUGCCAUUAAUUUGGUGUUGCGGGGAAUUUGGACUGUUACUUUGAAAAAAUUAGAGUGUUUAAAGCAAGCUAACGCUUGAAUACAUUAGCAUGGAAUAAUGAAAUAGGACGUUCGAUCCUAUUUUGUUGGUUUCUAGGAUUGACGUAAUGAUUAAUAGGGAUAGUUGGGGGCAUUAGUAUUCAAUUGUCAGAGGUGAAAUUCUUGGAUUUAUUGAAGACUAACUACUGCGAAAGCAUUUGCCAAGGAUGUUUUCAUUAAUCAAGAACGAAAGUUAGGGGAUCGAAGACGAUCAGAUACCGUCGUAGUCUUAACCAUAAACUAUGCCGACUAGGGAUCGGAUGAUGUUAAUUUUUUAAUGGCUCAUUCGGCGCCUUAC
rnacentral:rRNA from 1 species